AGUGCUGGGAUUAUAGGCAUGAGCCACCAUGCCUGGUCCUCUACUGGCAUUUUAAAUGAGCAGAGAGUAAGGGGUUUCCUUGGUGUUUUGAAAUGAUGCUUGCCUGCUACUGUGUACCAGAGGUUUCAAUGUGUGUGGGACAAGUACAAGACAGAGUGAAAACUGGUGGACAGCUGCCCUGAAGUCUGAUAUUGAAGGAUCAAACAUCUCCUUUGUGAUUGUCCCCGCUUCACUGAGUCUCCUUUGCUUACUCAUACCCCAAUCUUCUAAGGACAUACCCAAUUUUACUUUGUCUUUGUAUGGACCAAUAAAAGAGGCUAGAACUGAGAUAAGAGAUGUUCUACUUAGGGGCACAUUGGAGACUAGGGCCCAGGAAGAAUAUGAAGACCUGAACUCUACAGCUUUAAUGUAAGUAUCAUGGCACAAAAUGAGAUAUGGGACUUCAGGAAUAAUUUAUUCAAUGCUAAAUAAGGUGAGGAGUGGCAAGUCUAAAAUACAUACCCUCUAUGUACAUUCUAAUCUUGUUCAUCCUCUACAGGUACAACAAUAUACACAUUCACUCACCCAACUCACCAUUUCCUGGCAGCUAAAAUGACAGGAUCUUCUCUACAACUUAUCCCCACCCCCAUCAGUCAUACCCACCUUCUGGAAGUCAGAUCCUUCAGGUGAUUGCCUACUGGCCACAAGGGCACCCAUCAUUUCCGUGGCCUCUGUGGUUUCUAUCCCUGCCUUUCUGGGGGCAGAAAUGUCUGCUGCAGUCCUUCCUUUUGGAAAUCUGAAGACUUUUGGAAUUGCCCCUGAAAAGAAAGGAAGAUAAGUGGGAGCUGCAGAAGCAGUGUUCCCAUCAUGGCCUGGUGCCAUUAUUCCAGAAUGCUGUUGAAGUGAGGGAACCAAUGGCAACCUUGACAUGCCUCAAUGAUACAGUGCUUUGUAUACAAAGACCCAGGACAGAAGCAAGAGGACAGCUGGCUUCUAGAGUGCUAAACACCCAGAAAAUACAAUAGGCAAUUUACAGUUUUUACUGACUUAUAAUUUGCUAAGUAUUCACAAUUUGUUAAUAAAAACAGCUACUAUUACCACAUUGAUUCUUUCAAUGAAUUUUUAUUGAGUACCUGCUAUAUGCCAGACAACUGUGCACUGUGAAUACAAUGAUUAAAAAAAUAGUAAGCAAAGACAGACUUCUUGCUUUGGGGAGUUUAUCAUGUACUUAAGGGGAGCAUAUAUUAAUCAAAGAAACAUAAAUGUAAAAUUACAACCACAUUAAAUGCUACAACAUAAACAUACAUGUUUUAUAUGUAUUCUUCUGGAAGUGUAUAUGGGUUGAGGGCAAAUCAGGAGAGUUGUGAUUUUAAGAGUAGAAGAUUUUCAUUAUAAAUUCAACUUCGUGGCUUAUCGAUGAAUAUUGUAUACACAACUUAGUUAAAAAUUACAUAAAAAUUACUGCAAUUUUAAACUCUAAAGAGAUGUGCUCACAAAACUAUUUGUCCAUGUUCUCACAUAAAUCGUUAAUAAAUGAAGACUUUGUUUAGGUUCUUAUCCUAGAUUUAGUAUGUAAGCUUUGUUAAGGUGAGAACCAAGGUUUAGGGAUAUAUAUUAAUAUAUCAACAAAGCUUGCCUAUAUAUGUUUAUAUAUAUAUUAUCUAUAUUAUAUAUAUAAAAGAAACUAUACUAUAUAUAGUAUAUAUAAAACUAUAUACAUAUAUACAUAUAUAUAUAUGUAAAAGAAACUACCUCACUUAUUUCUGUUACAGGCUACAUCCUCUCUGAACCCUCCUCCAAUUUUUAAAAUUACACUUUAUGUUCCUAUUGGAUGCAUGUGUCCUGUAUGUCCACCUCCCCACCCCAUUCUUCCUCAGUCCUGGAAUCUGGCAGACUGAUAAAUUGACUAUGUGCUGGCAUGCUCUGCUACCAAAAUACUAACUUUCUGACUUUUUAGAAAGAUGAAGUGUCAUGGGCGAAGUAAUACUUAACUAUAUUAUUCAGCAAUAUUAGCAGAAUAUUAUGUGCCCUGUGAAUAUAAUAUGGCUUGUAAAGCAGGAAGCCCCCCAUUUGCAAGGCCAGGGGGAAUUUUUAGCGGGUUAUACACCUUAGGUAAAAUUAGGUAUUUGCCCAAAUUUAAACAUAAUUGCUGAUCAUCUGCUUCUCACAAUUGAGGAUAUCUGAUAAAAGUUGUUCCUGAUGUUUGUAAAAUUUAAAACAUAGUUAUAUUACACCAUAAGCUGCAUUUAAAAUUCAGGGCCCAUUUCUUCCAUGUGCCUAAGUCUCCUAAGUUGAAAGUUUAUUCAGUACUGUGAUAGUAGAGAACAACAAAAAAAUAUGCUCUAUCUCCAGCUACUGGGUUAGAAUUCUGUCCUUCCUUUCACCUGUCUUCUCUGGAUAGGUUCCAAAGCUAGAUCCCACUAACCAAAAGGAAGGAGGCAGCAACACUUCCUGCCCAGAAUACAGAAUCCUCAAAGUUCUCCCUCUGCUGGUUCAAGGAAGAUAUAAAGAAUGUCACUCCCGUAACUCUUAAGUGAGCAUUAUUUUUGAAAAAGCCGGAUUGGUAGAUGCCUUUGGUGUAAAUCCUGAAGUUAUCCAGAGAAUACAAGAGGAGUUACUACCAAAGCUUAGGCUCAAAGUACUCCAGCCCUAGCUACCUGAACUAGUUCUGCCCUUCCUACAAUAAAUUUUGCCUCUUUUUCUCUUCUCACUCAAGUAGCCCCCUCCUAACCUACAGGGUAAGAUUUCAAUGCCCUCUGAGGAAGUAAGGUUAGGAUUGGGAUCUUGAUAUGGUUACCUCCUCCCAACUCUUUCUCUAAAACCAUCAGUCUCCCCCUAAAGGGAAGUGGAACUAAGUGAACAGGACUGAAAAUCAGCACAAACUGGCAUUAAAAAUUAUGUUCCCUGAAUUCCUAUAGAUAACCUGCUAUAACAGGGAGGGAGUAGUUCUCUGGGAAAACAAAUCUCUCUGAAGCUUACUUGGGUUUAAACUCUUCUAAAUGGCACCUUUUGAGUUAGUCUAUGGUUUCCAAGCAAGAAAACUGCAUUGAACUCAGGCUUUGUCCUAAAAACCAGGGCUAGAAAGGUGACAUGGGCAGGAUACCCUGACCCUGUACAUAUUGGUGCUAGGAUAAAGAUAACGAUUCUUAUCUCAAAGGAAACAACACAAAACAACUCUGUGACACAGUAAGGUAAACUAACUUGUCUAAAAUCACAGCAAGGUAAAUGACUGAGGCACAGUCAAGGAUCUAGCUCUCCCAAAUCUGUGUCCUUUCCAUAACAUAAGAGAGGCCAGAAUGACUUCUAAAUUGACAUUAGUCAAAAAAAUUAAAAAUCCUUCCCAAUGUUGACCUAGGGAUUUUAUAGCUCUGUACAUAAGGAAACAGGAAAAAAAAAAUUGGGGGAGCGGGGAGGUUAAUCCAGAUCAGCAAUUUUGUAUUAUCUUUGAGGAACAGGUGGGUAAAUAAGACUCCGAAGGCCCUGUUGAGUCAGGUUAUAAACUGCUGACAACAGGGAUACAAGAGGAAACUGGGACAGAGAAAAUCUGAGGACUGAGCUCCCUAAUUCCCAAGAGCAAGAACCUGAUUGUCCUAGGGGAGCUCAGUUCCCAGAAAAUCCUACGGAGAGUCAACACAAAGGUAUAUAAAAAGCUUCACAACAGGAAGAUACCAAUACCAGACAACUGUUGCCUACUCACUACCCACCCAGGCUGCGCUGGGGCAGACUAUAUAUCCUAACAUUCUGGCAUGAAGUAGUUCUGACAAGUGAGGAAAGCAUGGUUGCGGGUGCGGAUAGACAAUAGGGCAGCAGGGAUUCACUGUUCUAGUUUUCCUUUGGAGUUCAAAUGUGUGUGAUUUCAAAACAAAAAUCCAGAAGGAAACAUGAGAUUAAUGCAUUUAUUCCAAGUAAUUAACACAUUAAAAAUAAAGUUAAACUUGUCCAAG
rnacentral:lncRNA from 1 species